AUCCUUCACGUGUAGCCAUUUUAACCCCGGUUAUUUUCAGUAGUAUAUAACAUUCCGAUGCUCCUGAACGCACCGUCCGCAAGCAUCAGAGACGCAAGCAGACGUUCACGAGGAUUAAAAAAACAAAACAAAAAAGUGCGGCUGUUCUAAAUGUGCGUCUGUUCCAGUGGAAGCUCCACACAGAGCAGCUCUUUCUUCUGCAGCACCUGUGAACUGCAGCUGUGAGGACUGGAAGUCCUACAGGUCCAGAUAUGUAGGCUAAAAGCUUGUCUCUACGGACAUGGCAGACAGUCACACUGCUGAGCCUCUCCUGGGACAUCGUGGAGCAGAGCCUCGUCUUCAGACGCCGCAGAGAACUGAGGCUUCUCUCUGCUUCACAAGAGAACACUGAACCACCAGCAGGAGCCGG